rfam:Salmo salar isolate Sally breed double haploid chromosome ssa13, whole genome shotgun sequence.
UGUAUGCACUACUGUAAGUCGCUCUAGAUAAGAGUGUCUGCUAAAUGACAAAUC